GAUGAACGCUGGCGGCGUGCCUAAUACAUGCAAGUCGAGCGAACAGACGAGGAGCUUGCUCCUCUGACGUUAGCGGCGGACGGGGGAGUAACACGUGGGUAACCUACCUAUAAGACUGGGAUAACUUCGGGAAACCGGAGCUAAUACCGGAUAAUAUAUUGAACCGCAUGGUUCAAUAGUGAAAGACGGGUUUGCUGUCACUUAUAGAUGGAUCCGCGCCGCAUUAGCUAGUUGGUAAGGUAACGGCUUACCAAGGCAACGAUGCGUAGCCGACCUGAGAGGGUGAUCGGCCACACUGGAACUGAGACACGGUCCAGACUCCUACGGGAGGCAGCAGUAGGGAAUCUUCCGCAAUGGGCGAAAGCCUGACGGAGCAACGCCGCGUGAGUGAUGAAGGUCUUCGGAUCGUAAAACUCUGUUAUUAGGGAAGAACAAAUGUGUAAGUAACUAUGCACGUCUUGACGGUACCUAAUCAGAAAGCCACGGCUAACUACGUG
rnacentral:rRNA from 1 species